ACCGAAUAGAUACCCGGGUAGUCCACGCCGUAAACUAUGAACGCUAGCCGUUGGCGAGCUUGCUCGUCAGUGGCGCAGCUAACGCAUUAAGCGUUCCGCCUGGGGAGUACGGCCGCAAGGUUGAAACUCAAAGAAAUUGACGGGGGCCCGCACAAGCGGUGGAGCAUGUGGUUUAAUUCGACGCAACGCGCAGAACCUUACCAGGGUUUGACAUCCCGAGACCGCUGCUGAAAGGCAGUUUCCCGCAAGGGCUCGGAGACAGGUGCUGCAUGGCUGUCGUCAGCUCGUGUCGUGAGAUGUUGGGUUAAGUCCCGCAACGAGCGCAACCCUCGCCUUUAGUUGCCAUCAUUAAGUUGGGCACUCUAGAGGGACCGCCGGCGACAAGCCGGAGGAAGGUGGGGAUGACGUCAAGUCCUCAUGGCCCUUACACCCUGGGCUACACACGUGCUACAAUGGCGGUGACAGUGAGCAGCUAACUCGCGAGAGUGUGCUAAUCUACCAAAAACCGUCCCAGUUCAGAUUGCAC
rnacentral:rRNA from 1 species